AUUGAACGCUGGCGGCAGGCCUAACACAUGCAAGUCGAGCGGAUGAAGGGAGCUUGCUCCUGGAUUCAGCGGCGGACGGGUGAGUAAUGCCUAGGAAUCUGCCUGGUAGUGGGGGAUAACGUCCUGAAACGGGCGCUUAUACCGCAUCCGUCCUGAUGGAGAAAGUGGGGGUUCUUCGGACCUCUCGCUUUCAUAUGAGCCUAGGUCGGAUUAGCUAGUUGGUGGGGUAAAGGCCUACCAAGGCGACGAUCCGUAACUGGUCUGAGAGGAUGAUCAGUCACACUGGAAGUGAGACACGGUCCAGACUCCUACGGGAGGCAGCAGUGGGGAAUAUUGGACAAUGGGCGAAAGGCUGAUCCAGCAAUGCCGCGUGUGUGAAGAAGGUCUUAGGAUUGUAAAGCACUUUAAGUUGGGAGGAAGGGCAGUAAGUUAAUACCUGGCUGUUUUGACGUUACCAACAGAAUAAGCACCGGCUAACUUCGUG
rnacentral:rRNA from 1 species